GUAAAUUUCAUGCAAUUGUGAGUGAAGGUAGAUCUGGAAUAGGGUGAAUGGAAUUUAAGGAUACAUGAGGUUAGUCCCAAUGCAUUUUAUGGUAUUUUCACCCUGAGAUUUCAUUGAAUCCACACACACAGUGUCGCUUAAUCAAAAUGAGCUAGGAAGGAGAAAGCGAACGGGAAAGCAAUUUCGAAGACAAAUUGUUCCUUUCCCUUAGUCAAUGCUCUAUUCCUGUAUCUAAAAUGUGGCCUCCUGAACGCCGGGAGCUUAUCUUUGGCUGCAAGACAAGCAAACACUGGGUAUGGAAUCAGAAGGAAAGAAGGGGGAAUAACAACAAAAAGAUCCCUUGCCAGGAGUGUGGAGAGACAUGGCAGAGCCAGCCUCCUGACUGGCACUGCAGGACUCUGAAGCCUGGGACAGCUGCGGAACCCGUUGCCUCUGGAGGGAGGGUUAUUUCUGCCCCUGGCUCUUGCCCUCCCUGCACACCCUGUCCUACUGAGUUCAUUCUUGGCCAGUCCUUAUGGAAAGGUGAAGAAAUGCAGGCUCCAGGAUGCCAAAUGACUUCAUAUCAACUUCACCCAGCAGAUUAAUGGAACUGGGCCCAGAAUCCAAGGCUCCUGACUACCCAGCCCUGUGCCCAUUCUAUUGGCCACUACACUCAGCCACUGGCUGUAGCCAUACCUCGAUUAGGCUGACAACCCUUUUGAAGCAAGGAUGACUUUUUCUUUCUUUUGUCCAAGACCAUUCUUCAUAUACAGGUUUGGUAAACUAACACUAGAAUGUAUCUAAAGAGAAGUAGUCAAGGAAGUAACCAUGUCCUUGGGACAUGGUAACCGUGAUGACCACCAACACAAUAAACCCCUGCACUCACACUGUAGUCAAGCUCAUUCAAGCAAAACUAUUUUCAGUAGAGAAUUUCCUCUGUAGAGAGCAUGCACAUUUUGAUUUUACCUGUCCUCAAACUGAUGCUUUGCUCAUUAUAAUAUUAAAAUAUACUUCUGGGAGGAGAUUUAAGAUGCUAAUGAGACGUGUGACAUAUGAACUAGCAUGUACAGCUCCCGCACAUGUGCACCCAGAAGACCACCCACAACAUGCUUACCAGUAACACCUCCUUCCACACCCUUAUGAACAAUCAUGUAAGACUCCCAUAAAGGGAGUCUCCCCAGUGCCAGUCCAUGCUUUCUGAUCCUUACUAGCAGCCUGCUGUGAAUGCUCUCUAGGGUGCACUGUCUCUUCUGCACCUAGCUUUUAGAAUAUUCUCUUUUGCAAUAAAUUGCUCUAUGCUGCAUGCACCUCCUUUGCUGUGUAUCUCUUAUUUAAGUUCUUUUAAACUAAUAAGACAAGAACUGAGGUCUCACAACAGUCAUCAAUGAGACUGCUGAAAUUCUGGAAAGUGAUUUUCCCCAUGGGCAAUACAUUAUUCUUUUUAUUAUUUCAAAAUACA
rnacentral:lncRNA from 1 species